rnacentral:snRNA from 10 species
GAAUGUGAGGGCGACCUGGCUGUAACAUCUGUCACCCCACUGAUCGCCAGGGGUAACUGCGCUGAUCUUGUUGGCUAGGUGGGUGUCUACUUCCUCCCUCAUGGCUCCAUGUGCGUCCCUUCCAAAGCUGCACGCUGGGUUAAAGAGGAUGACCAUCCCUGAUAGAGGAGGACCGGUCUUGGGUCAAGGUCAAGGAUAUAUAAGUAGCUGUGCUCCCCUGCUAGAACCUCCAAACAAGCCCUCAAAAGAAAAUAAACUGUAAACAAAUAUUGAACUCUAGUUAAUAAUAUGCCCACUGAAGUGUUUAGAAGUAUACCAGGCGUCUGCAAUUGACUUUAAAAU